AUUGAACGCUGGCGGCAGGCCUAACACAUGCAAGUCGAGCGGCAGCGGGAAAGUAGCUUGCUACUUUUGCCGGCGAGCGGCGGACGGGUGAGUAAUGCCUGGGGAUCUGCCCAGUAGAGGGGGAUAACUACUGGAAAGGGUAGCUAAUACCGCAUACGCCCAACGGGGGAAAGCAGGGGACCGACGGGCCUUGCGCGAUGGGAUGAACCCAGGUGGGAUUAGCUAGUUGGUGGGGUAAUGGCUCACCAAGGCGACGAUCCCUAGCUGGUCUGAGAGGAUGAUCAGCCACACUGGAACUGAGACACGGUCCAGACUCCUACGGGAGGCAGCAGUGGGGAAUAUUGCACAAUGGGGGAAACCCUGAUGCAGCCAUGCCGCGUGUGUGAAGAAGGCCUUCGGGUUGUAAAGCACUUUCAGCGAGGAGGAAAGGUUGGUAGCUAAUAACUGCCAGCUGUGACGUUACUCGCAGAAGAAGCACCGGCUAACUCCGUGCCAGCCGCCGCAGUAACAC
rnacentral:rRNA from 1 species